rnacentral:rRNA from 1 species
UACGUAGGGUGCAAGCGUUAAUCGGAAUUACUGGGCGUAAAGCGUGCGCAGGCGGCUUUGCAAGACAGAUGUGAAAUCCCCGGGCUCAACCUGGGAACUGCAUUUGUGACUGCAAGGCUAGAGUACGGUAGAGGGGGAUGGAAUUCCGCGUGUAGCAGUGAAAUGCGUAGAUAUGCGGAGGAACACCGAUGGCGAAGGCGGUGAGCUGGGCAGUUGCUGACACUGAGGCGCGACAGCGUGGGGAGCAAACAGG